UACGGAGGGUGCAAGCGUUGUUCGGAAUCAUUGGGCGUAAAGCGCGUGUAGGCGGCUUGGCAAGUCGGAUGUGAAAUCCCUCGGCUCAACCAAGGAAGUGCAUCCGAAACUGCUGAGCUUGAGUACUUAAGAGGAUCGCGGAAUUCCCGGUGUAGAGGUGAAAUUCGUAGAUAUCGGGAGGAACACCAGUGGCGAAGGCGGCGAUCUGGGAAGAUACUGACGCUGAGGUGCGAAAGCGUGGGGAGCAAACAGG
rnacentral:rRNA from 1 species